GAUGAAGAACGCAGUGAAAUGCGAUAAGUAAUGUGAAUUGCAGAAUUCAGUGAAUCAUCGAAUCUUUGAACGCACCUUGCACCCUUUGGCAUUCCGAAGGGUAUGCUCGUUUGAGUGUCAUUGUACUCUCACACUCUCCGAUCCUAUGGAUUCGGGGAGCGGUGGACUUGGGUGUUGCUGCCUUUCCCUGUGGCUCACCUCAAAUGCGUCAGUGCACCUCUUGGUUGGACAUAGUACGGCGUGAUAAGUGUCUUCGCCGGCACCUCGCAAGAGGGUGGCCGAUCGGGAGCUCUGCGCUUUCAAACCGUCUUCGGACAAUUCCUGACAUCUUGACCUCAAAUCGAGUAGGACUACCCGCUGAACUUAAGCAUAUCAAUAAGCGGAGGA
rnacentral:misc_RNA from 1 species